AGUGAACGCUGGCGGUAGGCCUAACACAUGCAAGUCGAACGGCAGCACAGUAAGAGCUUGUUCUUACGGGUGGCGAGUGGCGGACGGGUGAGGAAUACAUCGGAAUCUACUUUUUCGUGGGGGAUAACGUAGGGAAACUUACGCUAAUACCGCAUACGACCUACGGGUGAAAGCAGGGGAUCUUCGGACCUUGCGCGAUUGAAUGAGCCGAUGUCGGAUUAGCUAGUUGGCGGGGUAAAGGCCCACCAAGGCGACGAUCCGUAGCUGGUCUGAGAGGAUGAUCAGCCACACUGGAACUGAGACACGGUCCAGACUCCUACGGGAGGCAGCAGUGGGGAAUAUUGGACAAUGGGCGCAGGCCUGAUCCAGCCAUACCGCGUGGGUGAAGAAGGCCUUCGGGUUGUAAAGCCCUUUUGUUGGGAAAGAAAAGCAGCAGGUUAAUACCCCGCUGUUCUGACGGUACCCAAAGAAUAAGCACCGGCUAACUUCGUG
rnacentral:rRNA from 1 species